rnacentral:rRNA from 1 species
AUUGAACGCUGGCGGCAGGCCUAACACAUGCAAGUCGAGCGGAUGAAGGGAGCUUGCUCCUGGAUUCAGCGGCGGACGGGUGAGUAAUGCCUAGGAAUCUGCCUGGUAGUGGGGGAUAACGUCCGGAAACGGGCGCUAAUACCGCAUACGUCUUGAGGGAGAAAGUGGGGGAUCUUCGGACCUCACGCUAUCAGAUGAGCCUAGGUCGGAUUAGCUAGUUGGUGGGGUAAAGGCCUACCAAGGCGACGAUCCGUAACUGGUCUGAGAGGAUGAUCAGUCACACUGGAACUGAGACACGGUCCAGACUCCUACGGGAGGCAGCAGUGGGGAAUAUUGGACAAUGGGCGAAAGCCUGAUCCAGCCAUGCCGCGUGUGUGAAGAAGGUCUUCAGAUUGUAAAGCACUUUAAGUUGGGAGGAAGGGCAGUAAGUUAAUACCUUGCUGUUUUGACGUUACCAACAGAAUAAGCACCGGCUAACUUCGUG